rnacentral:lncRNA from 1 species
AUAUAAAGAGCCAGCCUCACGGUGGAGAUGAUAACCAUGAAAGAGAAGAGUGACUAGAAGAAACAUGUCCUUGACAGCAUCAUUGAGCCCUUGAAUCAAACCAACACUUAAGCCUGAACUACUCCUGGACUGUUCUUGUUAAAUAAGCCAGUUAAUCCCCUUCAUUUGUAAGCCGUUUUUUUGGUUUGUUUUGUUUUUUUUUGUAAUAUCGGUUAGGACUUGUGUUCCAAGUAUUGGAAAACCCAACUCAAGCUGGCUCAAUAUCUUCUUCAGAACUCAGGAGAGGGUGUAAAACUGGUCUGCAGAAGUGCUAGCCAACAGGAAGCGUUAGGAAUGCCAGAGCCUCAAGGUUCCAAAGACUUCACAUUCUCUGCUAAAAUUCCAUUUUAAUGUGUUAAUAUUUAAAAAUUACAAAAUGCCUAAAAGUGAAUCCUAGUAACUUUUUUUUUUCUGACUAUAGUAAGAACUAUCCUUUGAGGAGGCCUCUCCAUCCUAUGCUACCAACUAUGUUACUUUGUUGAACCACUAAUGCCAUAGAAGUACUCUACUCUGAAAUUACUUGACCCAAAGAAGUAAGCUGGAGACUCAGGCUUGGAAGAGGGAAAAAGCUGGUUUUCCAGAGAGGAUGGAGCAUCUGAUAACUUCUCUAACAGCUGGUAAAACCCAACAUAGAAAAUGUGAAGUUCACUUCUCUGCCUAUCAGGGACAGAUUGGCAUCCAUCCACAAUAA